CCCUCCCUCCCUCAGGACCAGCCCGGAAGUCUCUCCAAGAGCCCCAAAGUCCAGGAAUCCCCACCAAAGGAUUCAGAAACAGCGCCCACAGUCCGGGGCCCCUCUGAACGGUCGUUGUGAGGACUGACAAGUCAGUGCAUGUGAAACUCUUAGCUCAGUGAGAGAGAGAGAGCACAAGCAGGGGAGAGACAGACAGCGAGGGAGACAGAGGAUCCAAAGUGGGCUCUGUGCUGACAGCAGAGAGCCUGGUGCGGGGCUCGAACCCACAAACUGCGAGAUCAUGACCUGAGCUGAAGCCAGGAAUCGGAUGCUUAACCAACUACGCCACCCAGGUGCUGUGGGAUGAGCUGGUGGAGACUCUGAAGGUCAUUGAACUUGCAAAAGAAUGAGGCCAAGUCUUCAGGAAGCUCCGAAGUGUGAAUCAGGAAUUCUCCACACCAGUGAUGCUGAUCGGCUUCCUAGUCUCUAAAUAUGCCCAGUGUAUCUGCCCUGAAGAACUUACACAUGCCCAAGAAGCCUUCCUGUCUCCUCUCUGUUUACCUAAAUACUUCCUCACUUUCCCACCCGUGGCCAUCCUCACACCAACUCCUUUACAACUGGAUGGUUCGGUUCAUCCAGGCCCUGGCCUGGGCUGCUCUGUGGCGGUGACCUCUUUGGGAACAUGCCUGGUCUCCCCAGGUAACAUCAAGCAGUCUGCAAAUACUGAGGACCGUGCUGGUCUGGGCCGUGGGUGAGGCCGUGGCGUUAGGGCAGCAAGCCAGAGAAACCCACAGACUUUAUCCUAGUAGAGUCUACACCCCAGCAAAGCCUGAUGUGGGUGAAACAAGACUGUGAAGGCAUCGGGCUGCUGAAGAAACAAAUGGCAUGGGCACUUGGGUGGCUCAGUUG